GUAAGAGGCAUCUGCCCUCAAGAUUAUGCUUCAGAUUCAAAGACAGCUUUUUAUAAAGCAAUUCAAAUGAUGACCCAUCUGUUACCGAGGGAAUUUAGGAAAUGAGUAGAGACACAUUAUUCAGCAAGACGCCCCUCUCCUCAGCCUUGCACUGUCUGCCAUGUUACCAGGACAUGCCCUGCCAGCUAAUACAUAUUUUCUUGCAAUAGACCAAAAAU
rnacentral:lncRNA from 1 species